AUCCUGCUGAUGAGUCCCAAAUAGGACGAAACGCGCGUCCUGGAU
rfam:Schistosoma curassoni strain Dakar, Senegal genome assembly, scaffold: SCTD_scaffold0003746